GCUCGUGGAUCGAUGAAGACCGCAGCUAAAUGCGCGUCAGAAUGUGAACUGCAGGACACAUGAACACCGACAAGUUGAACGCAUAUUGCACAUCGUACAACAGUACGAUGUACACAUUUUUGAGUGCCUAUAUUUAUCCAUUCAACUAUGCGGGCUCCCGGGCCCGCAUGCGCCGUGACGUUUUCCCGCCUUCGGUGGCGGUAAAACGUUCAAGUCCCCGUCAGACGCACAUGACGAGCACAUACCACACUCCGCCGCCGCGGACCAGUUGUGCCACCGUCCUCUGCCGUGAUGACUCGAAGACUAUAUAUAUAGUAGGCCUCAAAUAAUGUGUGACUACCCCCUAAAUUUAAGCA
rnacentral:rRNA from 1 species